GCUGUAUUUUAUUACACACGUACUUGGAUGGAAUGACUCCAUGAAAUGUGUAAAAAUGUGAACAAUCUUCGUGAUUGCGUUAAUGAUUGCGAUGGCAUUGCUACAGCUGCCAUCAAUGGUGAUAGCUGACAACAACAUCCUGUGCAAAUGAAAUUUGUGAUAACAGAAAAGUAGCAGAGAAAUACAUUCACGAUUUGUUAACAGCCUUGAUUAUGUCAAUUGUUGGUCGAAUCGUUGAAGGUCACGUACUGUAUUUUUUUUUUUUUUUGAAGGUCUUCAUUUGUUUACAGUCCGAGCACGCCCACAAAUAUUUUUUAACAACAUUGUCAAAAAAAUUUAAUGCCUCAAAGUAUAAAAAUGGCUAUUACAAAUUUAUUGGCGCUUUAUUUUUUAUUCAGAGUUUUGUAAAUAAAGGCACGUAAAUAAACUGAAGUGCUUACAAGGGAAAUGGCAUUUAUUAUAAAGUUACUUACCAUACAACAGAACGUAUAGUGCAAAGUCAACAACCCGACUUAAAGAAAAAUAUUAUAUUGCUGUCACUCAGUUCGAUUCACUGUCAAUUAAUUUUUAAGUAAGUAUGUACAUACAUGGCAUUCAACUGACUGUAUACUAUUUACUAUCUUUAUGUAAAAAUAUUAUUUUAAUGAUGUAAUGUGGAACGAUUUUCCGUCAUCCCUUGUUAAAUUUGGUUUGGAGGCAAACAGGUUUCUGCGUUGUGCCCUCUUCAGUGUAAUUUUUCGUUCUGAACAGUUUCUGUUUGUCCGUCACUAUUUAUAACCGCCGGAUUAUCCGCUGAGACGUACCUAUCUAAGAACCAACGACGAU